GAUGAACGCUGGCGGCGUGCCUAAUACAUGCAAGUCGAGCGAACAGACGAGGAGCUUGCUCCUCUGACGUUAGCGGCGGACGGGUGAGUAACACGUGGAUAACCUACCUAUAAGACUGGGAUAACUUCGGGAAACCGGAGCUAAUACCGGAUAAUAUAUUGAACCGCAUGGUUCAAUAGUGAAAGACGGUUUUGCUGUCACUUAUAGAUGGAUCCGCGCUGCAUUAGCUAGUUGGUAAGGUAACGGCUUACCAAGGCAACGAUGCGUAGCCGACCUGAGAGGGUGAUCGGCCACACUGGAACUGAGACACGGUCCAGACUCCUACGGGAGGCAGCAGUAGGGAAUCUUCCGCAAUGGGCGAAAGCCUGACGGAGCAACGCCGCGUGAGUGAUGAAGGUCUUCGGAUCGUAAAACUCUGUUAUUAGGGAAGAACAAAUGUGUAAGUAACUAUGCACGUCUUGACGGUACCUAAUCAGAAGGCAACGGCUAACUACGUG
rnacentral:rRNA from 1 species